GGGGAGGGGGGAGGGAUUGCAUUGGGAGUUAUACCUGAUGUAAAUGACGAGUUGAUGGGUGCAGCACACCAACAUGGCACAAGUAUACAUAUGUAACAAACCUGCACGUUAUGCACAUGUACCCUACAACUUAAAGUAUAAUAAUAAUAAAUAAAUUUAUAAAAAAAAAAAAAAAGAAAAUUCUGUUGUUGGUUAGUUUCUCAUAGUUGUCAAUAAGGCUAAAAUAGUUAACAACGCUGAAUUCUUGUAUUUCUGUGUCGUUCUGCAUCUUCUGAGAAUUGUUUGUGAAGAAAGAAUUAAUUGAAUAUUUAUUGGGGAAAGUACAUAUAAAAGAUAAAGUGGGAGGGGCAGGAGAAGAUGAGGAGAGCUUUCAGAGGACAAUACAGCUCUCAGAAUAAAGAGAGAAAAAAAAAAAUAAAGAAGGGAGAUUGGGUGGAGUGAGCCUCAGAUCACUGCACCGUUCUGAGAAAGCUUAGUCCAAGCUAAUGGAUAAUUAUUGAAAAGUGCUUGCCAAUUAGAGAAUUCCUCCGCUGGGCAAGAACAACCUACGCUGAUCAUGUGAGUCAUUUACUAUCGGCACGCUGGGAGAAGUGUGGCCAUGACGCUAAUCCAACAGUGGACCUGCAGGAGCAGCGGCUGGCGAGCAUCAGUCAAUGUUUUGCACACAGGUUCUCCUGAGUGGCACUCCGUCUCCACCAGGAUGCUGUUACUGCUCCUGUAUCACCAAAGCCAAUGCCCUAAAGAUCAGAGCUGCAGACACAAAGGAAGGCCAAUGCAUGAGAAGAAAUCAGUGGGAAAGGGAGUAAGAAUCGCAGUCCCACCUUGACGGCACUCUCAGGCAAGAGGCCGUCUCUUUCGGAUGCUGUCAGAUCUCCAAAAUCUUGCUAUUUAAUAGAAAGCCUUGCCCAGAAGCCAGUUUGCGGCAUUACGCACCUCUAGCAAAGUAAUUUCGCUUAGAUUCUGAUUGCAUGAACAUAACUUCAAGACAAUCAAGACAAGGUGCUGAUCUGUGGCUGCCUCCCUGGGAGGUGAGUAUUCUGAAGACUAAAGCACACACAGGUGAAACUGAAUUUGGUGUGAGGUGAGGCAGGGAAAAGGGAAAACAUGACACACAGUGGCUUCAGAUCUUUAAAAGCAGAUAGUGCAGGCCUGGUAAGACUUCAGUUUGGUAGAAUUAGCUAUCUAAGUAAAAUAUGAAUCUGAGUUUAUCUUUAAGGCAAGAAAAAUGACAUCACAAUUGCAUAAACUACACAGAUCCUUCCUCUGACUGCUAUGGCUGUUUGUUGUUUUGUUUUGUUUGGAAUCAAGGAAUCACUUUGACUAACAGUAAACUAAAAGAAUAACCAGAAUACUAACCCACAAGUAUCCUGAAUGGGAAACAGGAAUGUCCAGUAGAAUUAAUCAUAAAAAACACCUGCCAUUAGGCAUUAGGCUCUCUGGAU
rnacentral:lncRNA from 10 species